ACUGCUCUUUGGGAGAAAGCUAUCUGCUAUACUUGACUGCUAGUGGUUUUUUCCCCAGGUUGCAUGGAUUAUGGUAUCCUGACCUGUCUAGUGAAUGCUUGGAACCUUGUACUUUGAAGAACCUUGAACCCUGGGCAAUGGUGGAAGAUUUGUUACCUUCCAGGCAUUGGACUGCAAAUUCUAUCUGCUCCAUCAAUAGUGAAGAGAGUUGCAGUUGACAAUAUUUUCUAGGCAUCAAGUUACCAAAUCUUGCUGGACAAUGUUAUUUUAUUGAAUGACCUUUACUCUUUCUAUUCAAUUGGUUUUAUUCUUUUAUGUAUUUUAUGCUAUGUAGCAAGUAGAAAAGAUAAAAUAUAAUUUUUAAAGAUUAAAUAAAAUACAACUUCCAUAUUUUUUUCUGACUAGCACCUUAUUUUUCUGACUAGCACCUUAUUUAUAAUGGCUGGGAAAUCUGU
rnacentral:lncRNA from 11 species